UACGUAGGGUGCUAGCGUUGUCCGGAUUUAUUGGGCGUAAAGAGCUCGUAGGCGGCUUGGUUAGUUGGGUGUGAAACCUCCAGGCUUAACCUGGAGACGCCACUCAAUACUGCCAUGGCUAGAGUCCGGUAGGGGACCACGGAAUUCCUGGUGUAGCGGUGAAAUGCGCAGAUAUCAGGAGGAACACCGGUGGCGAAGGCGGUGGUCUGGGCCGGCACUGACGCUGAGGAGCGAAAGCGUGGGGAGCGAACAGG
rnacentral:rRNA from 1 species